GACAGCCAGGAUGUUGGCUUAGAAGCAGCCAUCAUUUAAAGAAAGCGUAAUAGCUCACUGGUCGAGUCGGCCUGCGCGGAAGAUGUAACGGGGCUAAACCAUGCACCGAAGCUGCGGCAGCGACGCUUAUGCGUUGUUGGGUAGGGGAGCGUUCUGUAAGCCUGUGAAGGUGUGCUGUGAGGCAUGCUGGAGGUAUCAGAAGUGCGAAUGCUGACAUAAGUAACGAUAAAGCGGGUGAAAAGCCCGCUCGCCGGA
rnacentral:rRNA from 1 species